UACGGAGGGGGCUAGCGUUGUUCGGAAUUACUGGGCGUAAAGCGCGCGUAGGCGGAUCUGCAAGUCGGGGGUGAAAUCCCGAGGCUCAACCUCGGAACUGCCUUCGAUACUGCGGGUCUCGAGUCCGGGAGAGGUGAGUGGAAUUCCGUAGUGGUAGAGGUGAAAUUCGUAGAUAUUAGGAAGAACACCCGUGGCUAAGGCGGUCUCUAGUACGGUACUGACGCUGAGACGCGAAAGCGUGGGGAGCGAAC
rnacentral:rRNA from 1 species